rnacentral:misc_RNA from 1 species
GAUGAAGAACGUAGCGAAAUGCGAUAAGUAGUGUGAAUUGCAGAAUUCAGUGAAUCAUCGAAUCUUUGAACGCACAUUGCGCCCCUUGGUAUUCCAUGGGGCAUGCCUGUUCGAGCGUCAUUUGUACCUUCAAGCUUUGCUUGGUGUUGGGUGUUUGUCUCGCCUUUGCGUGUAGACUCGCCUUAAAAUAAUUGGCAGCCGGCGUAUUGAUUUCGGAGCGCAGUACAUCUCGCGCUUUGCACUCAUAACGACAGCGUCCAAAAGUACAUUUUACACUCUUGACCUCGGAUCAGGUAGGGAUACCCGCUGAACUUAAGCAUAUCAAUAAGCGGAGGGA